rnacentral:rRNA from 1 species
CCUACGGGUGGCAGCAGUGAGGAAUAUUGGUCAAUGGACGAGAGUCUGAACCAGCCAAGUAGCGUGAAGGAUGACUGCCCUAUGGGUUGUAAACUUCUUUUAUAUGGGAAUAAAAUGUUCCACGUGUGGGAUUUUGUAUGUACCAUAUGAAUAAGGAUCGGCUAACUCCGUGCCAGCAGCCGCGGUAAUACGGAGGAUCCGAGCGUUAUCCGGAUUUAUUGGGUUUAAAGGGAGCGUAGGUGGAUUGUUAAGUCAGCGGUAAAAAUGCGGUGCUCAACGCCGUACAGCCGUUGAAACUGGCAGUCUUGAGUGGGCGAGAAGUAUGCGGAAUGCGUGGUGUAGCGGUGAAAUGCAUAGAUAUCACGCAGAACUCCGAUUGCGAAGGCAGCAUACCGGCGCCCGACUGACGCUGAGGCACGAAAGCGUGGGUAUCGAACAGGAUUAGAUACCCGGGUAGUC